ensembl:lncRNA
CUCCGAGGCAAAGAAGGCGGGACGAGAAGAAAAAGUUUAGGACAGGAGCGCUAACCAAUCGGGCGCCUAGCUGCCUGAGCGACGGCCACCAGCAUCCACUUGGAGACACCGCCCUGAGUCGGGGGCAUGGUUAGUAGAGAGUGAACUAAUCCGAGACGAGGGAAGACAAAUUUGAGCCACUUAAAACUAAGAAGGCGGGAAGGGGCGGAGCUCUCCCGGUGGCUGCUCGUUGGUGGGUGAGGGUCAGCUUUCUCUGCUAGUUCCCACCCUCGGACUUCUUAGCCCCUCGAAUUCGAGAGAGGCUCAGGGAGUUCCCGGAGUAGGGCGAAGAGGGAGCCACUGGAGAGGAUCUUCCUAAGGUCCCUUUCCCUUUGUGGAGUGCUAUGGAGUUCCCAGAACACAGCCAGCAGCUGCUGCAGAGCCUCCGAGAGCAGCGGUCCCAGGGUUUCCUUUGUGACUGCACCGUGAUGGUGGGUAGUACCCAGUUCUUGGCUCAUCGGGCUGUGCUGGCCUCCUGCAGCCCAUUUUUCCAGCUUUUCUACAAAGAGCGGGAACUGGACAAGAGGGAUCUGGUGUGUAUCCACAACGAGAUUGUCACAGCCCCGGCCUUUGGACUGCUUCUGGACUUUAUGUAUGCUGGCCAGCUGGUCCUGAGGGGGGAUACCCCUGUGGAGGAUGUGCUGGCGGCUGCCAGCUACUUGCACAUGAAUGAUAUUGUCAAGGUGUGUAAGCGGCGGCUGCAAGCCCGGGGCCUGGCAGAGGCGGAUAGUACCAAGAAGGAAGAAGAAACCAACUCACAACCCCCUAAUUUGGAGUUUUUGUCCAGCACUUCCCGUGGUUCCCAGCCUUCGUUGGCAUCAGCAGAGACAUCAGGGCCCUGGGGCAAAGGGGAAUGGAAAGGCUCUGCAGCUCCCUCACCUAUCUGUCCUCCAGAUGAGCCACCGAUGCCAGCUGGGGCUGACACUACACAGCCUGGCGUGGAGGUUGAGUCAUCGCAUCUUCGGGCACCUCCUGUACCAGUGGCUGAUGUCUCUCUUGCCAGCCCCAGCAGUUCCACAGAGACCAACCCUGCAAACUACUUCUCUGCGGGCCUCCCAACUGUUUCAGUGGAGCCACUGGCUCCACUUGAUGUGGGUUCUGAGAGCCUGAGGGUGGUAGAACCAAGGGCAACUGGAGGACCAUUGCAAGGCUUCUAUCCUCCAACUUCAGUUGCAGUCCCAGUUCCAUCCGAGGCUCCAGCCCCCGCGGAAGCUGAGCUGGUACAGGUGAAAGUAGAAGCAAUUGUGAUUUCUGAUGAGGAGCCUGACGUGUCAGAGGAACAGCCUCGAGGCCCCGAGGGACUCUUCCCUCCUGGAGGAGCCAUGUAUGGUGGACAGCCCCCCCAGCCAGAGGCCUUUGAGGAGCCACGGGCAGCAGGAUUGGAGGAGGUGGGGCCCAGUGACCACUUCCUGCCGCCAGAUCCGCACCUACCCUACCAUUUGCUGCCAGGUCCAGGGCAGUAUCAUCGAGGACUGGUGACCUCGCCCCUGCCUGCUCCACCCGCCCUGCAUGAGCCACUCUACUUGCCUUCUGAGUAUGAAACAGCCCCAGGAAGCUUUGGGGGUUUUACUGAGGAUGUUCCUACUUGCAAGACAUGUGGGAAGACCUUCUCAUGCUCUUACACACUGCGGCGUCACGCCACAGUGCACACGCGGGAGCGACCCUACGAGUGCCGCUACUGCCUGCGCAGCUACACGCAGUCAGGGGACCUGUACCGCCACAUCCGCAAGGCUCACAAUGAGGACCUGGCCAAACGCAGCAAACCGGAUCCAGAGGCUGGCCCCGUCCUGGGAGCGCAGCCCCUCCCUGGCUCCCCGACCGCAGACAGACAGAACAGCAGUGUUGGAGGGCCACCCAAAGAUUUUGUACUUGGCUCCAAAAACUAACAUCCGGGAGAGCAUGAGCCGAUGCCAGGCCUGCUCUUGCUGCCACCAGGGGGCAGCACGGGAGGUGGAAGCACCUGAUUUCCUCUGCUGGGGACUGAAUGAAGAUUCUGCCCAGGCUGAAGGUUCCUACCCUUUUCUUUUCCCAGCCAGAGAGGACUUUAUGGGUAUUGCAUCUCAGCCAACUCCUCGCCGCCCUGGGAAUUUUCCUGAGAUGUAAUCGCUCUUCACUCUGCAUUUUGGACCAUAAAACUGGCAGUGAAAGUAUUCCUCUGAACUGGUUGGCUGGUUUCUUCCACAAACCUGCAUGCCUCCUGAUUUUUUCAUAGCUUUCCUCCAGGCUUUUUAGGAAUCUGACACCUGCAUUUGGGGUAGGGGUCAGGUUGCUUAGGAGGAAAAAAGUGAGAUAAGUAGAGGGUAAUGUAGACUUUACUUAGGAAAAGUAUACGAAUUAGGUUAUUUUACACAGUUAUGGUUUAUUGUGGGAGAAGGCAGUGGCAACCCACUCCAGUACUCUUGCCUGGAAAAUCCCAUGGACGGAGGAGCGUGGUAGGCUGCAGUCCAUGGGGUCCCUAGGAGUCGGACACGACUGAGCGACUUCACUUUCAUGCGUUGGAGAAGGAAAUGGCAACCCACUCCAGUACUCUUGCCUGGAGAAUCCCAGGGACGGGGAAGCCUGGUGGGCUGCCGUCUUAUGGGGUCGCAGAGUCGGACAUGACUGAAACGACUUAGCAGCAGCAGCAGCAACAUGGUUUAUUGUUGUAUUUGAGCUCCUGUGUCCUGGGCUGUAUUGGGGACUUCAUAUACACAUUUAAUCCUCAACAAUUUUUGAGGUAUUAUCCCUCUCCCCAUUUUUUUCCCCACAGACAAGGAAACUUGAGACUGAACAAUCUACGUUAACUUGUUCAAGGUCACAGAACUAGGUAAAGCGCAGGCCAGAAUUUGAACCCUGGCUUAUGACUUCAUGCUGGUUUAAAACUUUGUUGAAGAUGGUUAACUUUGAACUAGAAGCUGUUUCUUUUUUGAGUGUUGGGUUUUGUUGCCUUACCCCUUUCUGUCUGCUUUCCAUGUAGAAAGACUUGGUUGACUGUUUCAACGACAAAUACUGUAUUAAUGACUUGAAAUUUUUGCCUGCGUCUUAUAUGUGGAUUGAGGUCUCUGAAGACGACAAACUGGAAGGCAGGAAACACUACUGUGGUGGUAGGUGUGGAGGUUGAGGGCCUGUGAAAUGGAAAUGCUGGGUACUUGGGAAAACUAAAGCAAGAAACACUGGAAGAGAACCUCAGAGUUCAUCUAGUCCAACUUUCUCACUUAAAAGGUGUGAUGAUAGCCUAGACAGGUCAUAUCACUCAUCUAUGAUCACACAGGUGUUACUGGCAAUAGAGAUAGCAAAGAAAUGGGAACUUGGGGUGUUGAUGUGGCAUGGAGGAUAAAGCAUUCUAGAAAUCCAGGAGAAGGGUCUGCCCCUGCCUGUGGUAGAGUGGUAUUUGUACGAUGGACCAGAGGGCUCCCCACAAACCCUUUCUCUUUGACACAUAAGGAACUGAGUGCAAAAAAAGCAGGAAGGAAUAUUUAGAUGAAAAUAUGAGUGAAUUUCCUGAAUUUCUUCUCUUUUUGGAUUUAUUACAUUCAGCACUGUGAACUCUUACUAGUAGGCUACUGUUUUUGAGUCAUAGGAAGGAGACAGAGCUGAGCAAAUAUUUGGUCAAAGAAAGUUCCUUACCUGGUGCAUUAUGGAGAGCAAAAGUUGAUGCUUAACAUUUCCAAGGUUGGGAGUAAAUUCCAUGCCUUUCGUUUUCCUCGUGUUGGAAUAACCUUUGUAUCUUUCAAAUGCCUAAUUUUAUUUAUGCAAAUACAUUACUGCCUUAACUCCUUGGUGAAACAAGGCAAGAUGUACAUAAACCCAGUAAGAGCUAUUUUAGCUGAGUGGAGCACCUUUUCCAAAGUCUUUCCUAGAGUAACUAUCACGUCAAACUGCCUAUAAGAAUCAGUUGCCUUUAAAAGAGUGAACUUUAUGAUUGUGAAUUAUCUGUCAAUUUUUUAAAAAGACAUGGGGCUGGGGGUGGGCGGGGGGAGGAGAAAUCGGUUGCCUCAGAAUGGUUCCUAAAAGCAAGGCAUAAUAUGUGUAUAUGUAUAUAUCAUGUAUAUAAUUUCUCUGGACAUCUGGGGGACACAGGAACCAUUGUUACUGUCUUGGCCAAGUGCAAUACAAACUAAAGAGGAUCUGUUACUUGGUGACAUUCUCUCCUGAAGAGCAUUUAUUUUUAGUUCCCAGCAUGGAAUGCUUUCUUCAUUGGAGGUAGCAGCUAGGAAUUUGUAAGACAUUUAAAGCAGCAGCCAACACACUUACUGCUGCAGUUGCCUCUCUUUAUCCAUCUGCUGGACACCAAGAAUGGUUUAUGCCUGUCCGUAGAGGUGUGAUCAAUAGAGAAGUUUCUCUGGUUUCCACUUCUCUUGACGGCCCCAUCCAUGGAUUCAAGGAGACAUAGGUCAGCUCAUCUAACCUCUAGUCCAACACUGGAUCCUCCUUUUGCCAAGUGUUGAACCUCUGCUUGAAAGAGAACUCACUAUCCCUAAAGGAAAUCUAUUUAACUGUUGGGCAACCCUUAUCACUGACUAAUGAUUACUUCUACUGAGCCAAAAUCGGCCUCCAAUGGUGGGAUGGAUCAGGCCCCAGGCUACUAAGAGUUUAACCCCAAGAAGUUACUUGCUUUUGAGCUCCAAGCUGAUUUAAGUUUUCAGACAACCAACCUUUGCUCUCCAGUUUUAGAAACAUAUUCCUAGCUUAGGAUUUCACUUCUUUUCUUAAUUGGCUAUAAGCAUAUGCCUUCACUUGCCCUUAGCUUCACAAUACUCACCAUUUAGCCCUUCACAUUUGAUUUCAAUUUCUCCAAAGCCAGCGAUUCCAAAGAUGAUUUACUUGGUUAUAUACUAAUACUUUUUUUUUUUUUCUAAUACUUAUUUUUAUGGUUGGUUGGUUGUUUCGUUUUUUUGGGCAAAUGAUAUAAAGUGCUCUAAAGUCCCCACCUCAAUUUUAUCAGUAAGCAAUUUCAGCAUGCCAUCUCUAAAAGGACUCUUAAAGAAGAAAAAAGAAAAGGACCAAAUACCAUGAUCACUUGGGUCAGAAGAUACCCUAGAGAAGGAAAUGGCAACCCAUUCCAGUAAUCUUGCCUGGGAAAUUCCCAUGGACAGAGGAGCCUGGUGGGAUCCAGUCCAUGGUGUCAGAGUCGGACACGACUGAAUGACUAAACCAACAACCACUAUGAUCACACCCAACAAAACUGAUAAUUCCUGUUCAGAGCUUCCUGAUUGUCCCAUACUUUUUUUUUUUUUUCUCAAAUCAGAAUCCAAAUUCUAAGGGUUUUAGGAGCUCUGUGCCAGGACUUCGGAGGAGACCUAUACAUAUAAUUUUUUUUCAUUAUUUCAGUCUUAUAAACUUAGUUUUCUUCAAAUAAGAAUCCAAAGUAGAGUCAUAUUUAUUUGGUUGAUGUGUCUCAAACCUCUUUUUAAGAUAUAAAAUCCCCUCUCCUUUUCCUUGCAAUUUAUUGCAGAAAUUGGUUUUUGCAUCUUAUGGUUUCAGUCUGGGGUUUGCUGAUUACCUUCCCAUGAUAUCAUUUAACAUGUUCCUCUGUCCAAAAAUUCCUUUCAAAAUAUAUAUUUAAAUAAAAUGUUGACU